AAUGGCGCUGACGGAUUUUGAGUUUGACCCACGGAUUUCGAGAAAAUCCACAAAUACGCAUUUUAUAUGUAAUUGUGCGUCAUUUUGGCCUUAUGGAGAAAGGUUGGAUUUUGUCGUGAAUCCGUGGUCGAUCGAGACGAAACGAAAUCGCAGCUUUGUUGACUCUGAGGUGCUGAUUGCACUAGUGCAAUCCGUUCGUAAAUCCGACGGACGGAUCUGCGGAAAUUGUGCGUUGAUCGAGGAGAGGUCGGUGUUGGAAAAAUGGUAUUUUUUGCAAAAGGCGCGACAUUUUAUGUACCGUUUCGCGUGAAAUCGCACGUGGAGGGGUGUUCACGCGUUUUACACGCACCGUGAAAGA
rnacentral:lncRNA from 1 species